rnacentral:rRNA from 2 species
ACAUGCAAGUCGAGCGGACAGAAGGGAGCUUGCUCCCGGAUGUUAGCGGCGGACGGGUGAGUAACACGUGGGUAACCUGCCUGUAAGACUGGGAUAACUCCGGGAAACCGGAGCUAAUACCGGAUAGUUCCUUGAACCGCAUGGUUCAAGGAUGAAAGACGGUUUCGGCUGUCACUUACAGAUGGACCCGCGGCGCAUUAGCUAGUUGGUGAGGUAACGGCUCACCAAGGCGACGAUGCGUAGCCGACCUGAGAGGGUGAUCGGCCACACUGGGACUGAGACACGGCCCAGACUCCUACGGGAGGCAGCAGUAGGGAAUCUUCCGCAAUGGACGAAAGUCUGACGGAGCAACGCCGCGUGAGUGAUGAAGGUUUUCGGAUCGUAAAGCUCUGUUGUUAGGGAAGAACAAGUGCAAGAGUAACUGCUUGCACCUUGACGGUACCUAACCAGAAAGCCACGGCUAACUACGUGCCAGCAGCCGCGGUAAUACGUAGGUGGCAAGCGUUGUCCGGAAUUAUUGGGCGUAAAGGGCUCGCAGGCGGUUUCUUAAGUCUGAUGUGAAAGCCCCCGGCUCAACCGGGGAGGGUCAUUGGAAACUGGGAAACUUGAGUGCAGAAGAGGAGAGUGGAAUUCCACGUGUAGCGGUGAAAUGCGUAGAGAUGUGGAGGAACACCAGUGGCGAAGGCGACUCUCUGGUCUGUAACUGACGCUGA